rnacentral:misc_RNA from 1 species
GAAAUGCGAUACGUAAUGCGAAUUGCAGGACUCAGUGAAUCAUCGAAUCUUUGAACGCAUGUUGCGCUUUCGAGAGCCCUCGGAAGCAUGCCUCUCUGAGUAUCGGUUCCUAUAUCACAUCUUGUUGGAUGUGGAGAAUGAGAGUCGAUUCGUUCGUCUCCUGAAAUCAUGUCGGCAUCGAAAAGUCCAUCGGAUUCUUGGAACGAUAAUCCGCCAUGGCGCCCGAACCAUACAAGAUCUCAGAUGAGGUAAGAUGACCCGCUGAAUUUAA